UAGAAAUAGGCUAUAUGUGCAUCCUAGCAUACAUUACGUAAGUAAACAUCUUUUACUCAUCUUUAUGUCCAAUACUAUAGCUAUAGUUAUUUUGUUCCUUUUUAACUAAGGUUGCUUUUACUUAGAUAUCUUUGGGAUGAAUGUGAUUGUGGAAGCAAGUUUUUUGUUAUGACCAAGCAAAAAUAACAUCACAUAUCAAGGAUCGUGAUCUCCGAUCCAGAAAUUUUGCCAACCAGUUAGAAGCGGCUACCUUGGAACAAAUAGUUCUAAUUCCGUAUAAUACUGGGUAAAUAAAUAAGAUUAACACAUUAUUAUGUUUUUCAUUGAGGUUAAAUGUAUACUCACAUUGAAGAUGUUUAUUGUAGUUUUCAUUGGAUGUUGCAUGUCAUCGAUCUUCGAGAGAACUGUGUUUAUGUUUUGGACUCUCUUCAAAAGGAUUAAAAACAUGGCAAGCUAAGCAUGAUUUACAACAUUAUCGGUCAAAUCCGAAAUGGAAACCUAUAAAGUGUCCUCGUCAAUUGGAUUCGGUUGGGUGUGGGUAUUAUGUCCAAAAGUAUAUACAUGAAAUCGUGCAUAAUUCUAGUACUCCCAUCACUAGCCUUGUAAGUUUCUACUUUCACUUUUUAUAUGUUACAAAUUACAUAAAUUAUCUA